rnacentral:rRNA from 1 species
AGAGUUUGAUCAUGGCUCAGAAUGAACGCUGGCGGCGUGCCUAACACAUGCAAGUCGAGCGAGAAAUCACACUUCGGUGUGAGAGUAGAGCGGCGCACGGGUGAGUAACGCGUGGAUAAUCUACCCAUGGAUUGGGGAUAACCCUGCGAAAGCGGGGCUAAUACCUGAUAGUCUGGUCAUUAUAUAGAUGAUCGGUAAAGGUGGCCUCUGAUACAAGCUACUGUCCGUGGAUGAGUCCGCGUCUCAUUAGCUGGUUGGUGGGGUAAUGGCCUACCAAGGCGACGAUGAGUAGCUGGUCUGAGAGGAUGAUCAGCCACACUGGGACUGGAACACGGCCCAGACUCCUACGGGAGGCAGCAGUGGGGAAUAUUGGGCAAUGGGCGCAAGCCUGACCCAGCAACGCCGUGUGAGGGAAGAAGGUUUUCGGAUCGUAAACCUCUGUCAGAAGGGAAGAAGUGGCAGAUAUUUAAUAUAUAUUUGCUUUGACGGUACCUUCAGAGGAAGCACCGGCUAACUCCGUGCCAGCAGCCGCGGUAAUGCGGAGGGUGCAAGCGUUAUUCGGAAUCACUGGGCGUAAAGCGCGCGUA